rnacentral:tRNA from 1 species
AGCAGUGUGGCUCAGUGGAAAGAGCACGGGCUUGGGAGUCAGAGAUCAUGGGUUCAAAUCCCGGCUCUGCAA